AUUGAACGCUGGCGGCAGGCUUAACACAUGCAAGUCGAGCGGAGAGAGGUAGCUUGCUACUGAUCUUAGCGGCGGACGGGUGAGUAAUGCUUAGGAAUCUGCCUAUUAGUGGGGGACAACAUUUCGAAAGGAAUGCUAAUACCGCAUACGUCCUACGGGAGAAAGCAGGGGAUCUUCGGACCUUGCGCUAAUAGAUGAGCCUAAGUCGGAUUAGCUAGUUGGCGGGGUAAAGGCCCACCAAGGCGACGAUCUGUAGCGGGUCUGAGAAGAUGAUCCGCCACACUGGGACUGAGACACGGCCCAGACUCCGACGGGAGGCAGCAGUGGGGAAUAUUGGACAAUGGGCGCAAGCCUGAUCCAGCCAUGCCGCGUGUGUGAAGAAGGCCUUAUGGUUGUAAAGCACUUUAAGCGAGGAGGAGGCUACUUUAGAUAAUACCUAGAGAUAGUGGACGUUACUCGCAGAAUAAGCACCGGCUAACUCUGUGCCAGCCGCCGCAGUAA
rnacentral:rRNA from 1 species